GGUGUGGGUUGCAUUUCUGUAGGCACACACAUUGCCGUGAGUGCUGCUGCCUGAUGCUUCUGUCAUUGAAGUCUGGUCUCCAAGCCACUGUCCCAAGCCAGCAUGACUCCAGCUGCCUGGAAUUCCAUUCAUCUCUUUGGGAAGGGACGUCAGCGGCUGUCAAUUCCCUGCUAAGGUCCUUGGCUAUCAGGCUGGCCCUGAGACCAAGAAACAGCUCUCUAGGUAGACAUGGUGGUGGACUCCAGAGCAUUGUACCUCUCCUGCCAGAAUGGAAGCAACACAGGAGAACUGAUUCAGUGUGAGUUCUUGAAAUUCCUCCAAAAAUGAAAUGAUGACACCACCCCCCCCCCCUUUUUUUUGCCGGAAGGAGCCAUCUAACCCAACCAUUCAGUUAACAGGCAAAGAAAUUGUUUCAAAGAGAUGACGUGACUUAAAGAAGUUCAUA